rnacentral:rRNA from 1 species
GAUCAUGGCUCAGAGUGAACGCUGGCGGCAGGCCUAACACAUGCAAGUCGAACGGCAGCACAGUAAGAGCUUGCUCUUAUGGGUGGCGAGUGGCGGACGGGUGAGGAAUACAUCGGAAUCUACUCUUUCGUGGGGGAUAACGUAGGGAAACUUACGCUAAUACCGCAUACGACCUACGGGUGAAAGCGGAGGACCUUCGGGCUUCGCGCGAUUGAAUGAGCCGAUGUCGGAUUAG